AUUGAACGCUGGCGGCAGGCCUAACACGUGCAAGUCGAGCGGAUGAAGGGAGCUUGCUCCUGGAUUCAGCGGCGGACGGGUGAGUAAUGCCUAGGAAUCUGCCUGGUAGUGGGGGAUAACGUCCGGAAACGGGCGCUAAUACCGCAUACGUCCUGAGGGAGAAAGUGGGGGAUCUUCGGACCUCACGCUAUCAGAUGAGCCUAGGUCGGAUUAGCUAGUUGGUGGGGUAAAGGCCUACCAAGGCGACGAUCCGUAACUGGUCUGAGAGGAUGAUCAGUCACACUGGAACUGAGACACGGUCCAGACUCCUACGGGAGGCAGCAGUGGGGAAUAUUGGACAAUGGGCGAAAGCCUGAUCCAGCCAUGCCGCGUGUGUGAAGAAGGUCUUCGGAUUGUAAAGCACUUUUAGUUGGGAGGAAGGGCAGUAAGUUAAUACCUUGCUGUUUUGACGUUACCAACAGAAUAAGCACCGGCUAACUUCGUG
rnacentral:rRNA from 1 species